UUCUGUGAAGCCGGCCUGUGAGGGAUCCGGUGGAGAGAUCACUAGUGAGAAUGAUGACAUGAGUAGCGACAAACAGGGUGAGAGACCCUGUCGCCGAAAGUCCAAGGGUUCCUGCUUAAAGCUAAUCUGAGCAGGGUAAGCCGACCCCUAAGGCGAGGCCGAAAGGCGUAGUCGAUGGGAACCAGGUUAAUAUUCCUGGGCCAGGAGGAUGUGACGGAUCGCAGAGGUUGUUCGCCCUUAUCGGAUUGGGCGGGCCGCUGAGCGGUUCCUGGAAAUAGCCCUCCAUGAGAUCGUACCCUAAACCGACACAGGUGGACAGGUAGAGAAUACCAAGGCGCUUGAGAGAACGAUGUUGAAGGAACUCGGCAAAAUACCUCCGUAAGUUCGCGAGAAGGAGGCCCCGUUGGCAGGCAACUGUCGGCGGGGGGCACAAACUAGGGGGUGGCGACUGUUUAUUAAAAACACAGGGCUCUGCGAAGUCGUAAGACGACGUAUAGGGUCUGACG
rnacentral:rRNA from 1 species